UACGGAGGGGGCUAGCGUUGUUCGGAAUCACUGGGCUUAAAGGGCGCGUAGGCGGGCUGUCAAGUUUGGGGUGAAAUCCCGCGGCUCAACCGUGGAACUGCCUCAAAUACUGACGGUCUCGAGGGAGGUAGGGGCGAGCGGAACUGAUGGUGGAGCGGUGAAAUGCGUUGAUAUCAUCAGGAACUCCGGUGGCGAAGGCGGCUCGCUGGACCUUUUCUGACGCUGAGGCGCGAAAGCCAGGGGAGCAAAGCGGG
rnacentral:rRNA from 1 species